rnacentral:sRNA from 1 species
GUCGAAGCCGAACCCGAACCCGAAGCCAUCCGAAGCUCAUACAACAUUUGGGGCCAAAGGACGAACUGUGGCGCCGGAUAACGGAACCCAAAGCACCGGAACACUUCGAGGCGAAGCACGCGGCGCACGGAACGGCACGGCAGCCUAACGGUAAACAUUGAAUCGGCGGUGUUAUCAUCCUUCAUCCUCGUCGUCCGGUUACUGUUUAUUUUUUUUUUUGUUUUUUUGGCGUGCUUUUAGUUCGUUAUUCCGCUGACCGCUUAUCGUUAACUGUUAACUGUUAAACGUUUACCGCUAUCCGCGGACCGGAACGUUUACCGCGAGCUGGACUGCACCGUGAUACCGUUACGUUACGCGCCUUUGAAAAGCCAGCCACAAAAAGAAGGGCCAUGAAUGGUGCAGAACAAAGAGUGUUGGCCAUUAAGUAACGCCACAAUCCCCGAAUCCUUCCUCCUCUGAUAACGGGCCGCAUAAAUUACGGUGAAAAGCAGAAAGCUGAUUGAAAACUUUUCGCAUUUCCCGAUAUUUUUUUGAAGGCAAUCUUGUUGUUGCCAUUUUUGUGAAUUUUUUUUUUGUUAAUGUGCCAAACCAAAGAAAAAAGUUAAUCAAAACUAAAAAAUACAAAAUAAAUCGGAAAUUUGUGCGAUAAGCCAAGCCCCCCUCCAGCCGCGCUCUCUUUUGAACGGAAGCUAACGGGAAGCUGAUAAACAGUUUGGCGCUCAAAAGAGUGGAAGGAGUGCUUCAAGAGUGGAAAACAGUAAAAGCCGGCAUCAUCAGCAGCAGCAGCAGCAGCAGCAACGGAAGCUCUCAAAAGAGAGCAAGAGGCCAAAAGCCGGCAGAGGCGCGCUCAAAGAGAGGCCGAAGGAGCAGCAGCAAGAACCGUUUAAUGAACA